rnacentral:antisense_RNA from 1 species
CGUUAUGGGUGACGGUGCGUGGGAGCCUUCGGGCUGCCGGUGUCCAUUCUGGCCGGUCUGCUAACCCGCGCAUCGUCUCCCACCCCU